ensembl:processed_transcript RIKEN cDNA 2010320O07 gene
GUGUGUAGUGGGAGGCGACGAUCGCUCCUAAGGUUUUGGUCGCUGUCCCCGCCCCCACCAGGGUGACGCCUGGCCUCCUGGAGCCCAAGGUGAGACUAGGUCAUGCCACUGCUACUGAUUCGUGUUUGCUAUCCCAGCACUACUGAACUGGACUGCUGGUGUAUCGUGGUGGAUCUGCAAGUGGAUUGAGCUGCUGCUGCUGCUGACCCGUGAACUGAACGGCUGAUUUCCUGACAAUGCAGAUUGGAUUUGCUCCAAAGAACAAUUUCUAAACAGGUCCAUUUCCCCUGUAUCCCAAUAACCUUUUUUUUUUCUACUACCUCUGGUGGGGGUUGGGUUAGAAGGAAGGUCAAAGCAUUUAAGAACAAUUAUUAAAAUUAGGGUUGGGAAAAAUGUAAGCAUACACACAAUGCACUGUGGCAUAUACGAUCAUGUGACACACAUAUACAUGUAAUAAUCAUGUGACACACAUAUACAUGUAAUAAUCAUGUGACACACAUAUACAUGUAAUAAGUGAAUAUGUUUUUUAAAAUUAAAACAGUCAACUUUAAGUUG